CCGCCGCCCUCCCGCCGGCCCGGCCCCUCAUCAACAGACCCGCUCUAGCCCCACUGCACCGCUCCUCUCUAUGGUGAGGCCGGCCUCGAGACAGGAUGUCCCGCCUUCCCCCUCCUUUCUGAUUCGCGGAGAGCUUUGCUGGCGUUUCGGGGGCUUAGCCGCGAAUUGGCCGAGUUUCUCCCGUUUCCAGUGUCGAGGGAGAGAGGGGUUGGCGAGCGGUGUUGCCGGCGAAGGAGGCGGGGGGAGGGAGAGGGGAGGAGGGGCGAGGAUUAGCCGGAGCCGAGCGGGCGGCGAUAGAUCGGGCGAGGGGAGAGGAGCUGCCGCCGCCACGGACGGCCGGUUGGGCUGCUCUGCCAGCCUGGAGAGAAGGCUGGAGAAGGAAACAUGUCUUCUGAAUCUUUUUGUCUGGCUGCUCAAACUAGGUUUGACUCCAAAUGGUUGAAGACAGACUUACAGAUGUUGCAUAUAAAUACAUUACUUUGAAUAAACUUUUCACGUUUCCGCUCA
rnacentral:lncRNA from 1 species